GGAUAGCUCAGUUGGUGGAGCGUGGUGCUGAUAACGCUAAGGUUGCAGGUUUGAUCCCUGUAUGGGACA